GAUGAACGCUGGCGGCGUGCCUAAUACAUGCAAGUCGAGCGAACGGACGAGAAGCUUGCUUCUCUGAUGUUAGCGGCGGACGGGUGAGUAACACGUGGAUAACCUACCUAUAAGACUGGGAUAACCUCGGGAAACCGGAGCUAAUACCGGAUAAUAUUUUGAACCGCAUGGUUCAAAAGUGAAAGACGGUCUUGCUGUCACUUAUAGAUGGAUCCGCGCUGCAUUAGCUAGUUGGUAAGGUAACGGCUUACCAAGGCAACGAUGCAUAGCCGACCUGAGAGGUUGAUCGGCCACACUGGAACUGAGACACGGUCCAGACUCCUACGGGAGGCAGCAGUAGGGAAUCUUCCGCAAUGGGCGAAAGCCUGACGGAGCAACGCCGCGUGAGUGAUGAAGGUCUUCGGAUCGUAAAACUCUGUUAUUAGGGAAGAACAUAUGUGUAAGUAACUGUGCACAUCUUGACGGUACCUAAUCAGAAAGCCACGGCUAACUACGUG
rnacentral:rRNA from 1 species